GAGGUGCUAGUAAAAUAAUAACAUUACUUUGUCAAAGUAAAGUCGUGGGUUAAAGUCCCACGCACCUUA
rnacentral:tRNA from 1 species